rnacentral:rRNA from 1 species
UACGGAGGGGGCUAGCGUUGUUCGGAAUUACUGGGCGUAAAGCGCGCGUAGGCGGACCUGCAAGUCGGGGGGUGAAAGCCCGAGGCUCAACCUCGGAACUGCCUUCGAUACUGCGGGUCUCGAGUCCGGGAGAGGUGAGUGGAAUUCCUAGUGUAGAGGUGAAAUUCGUAGAUAUUAGGAAGAACACCAGUGGCGAAGGCGGCUCACUGGCCCGGUACUGACGCUGAG